UAUAUACAUGUAUGACGGAUGAUACGAAGCCCGGUAUGUAAUGCAGGCUCUCAGAAGCCCGGGCUUUCUACAUGCAAUACCGAUCUAUAAGUCGAAUAUAUCGCUUUAUUGUAAAAUGUUUAGUGGGGGCAACUUGAGAGGGGUAGAAAUUAUUUACAUACACCAAAAGCCUUACUUUGCUGUUUUAACGAAGCCAUUGAUAUACAACAUGAAAUGCGAAGCCCGGCUGUAUAAAAUGCAGAUAUUUCACAUGUGAAAUGCAACCAUGCUGCGUUGCCAUUUUGCUAUUGUUUCUCAGCCUUCUGAUGAGAUCAUUUUAAUUCUUGUGAUCGAAGUGCACGUACGAGGUGCUAGCAUGGACCACUUUAAGUUUUUGGUUAGUUUGGCUACUCAAAACGAAAUUGGUUACCCCAAGAUAUUUUUCAAACUGCAAAGGUGGCCAAAGUAUUAAUGUUGUUAGAAAAAGGCAGAGGAAGACAAUUUAUAGGAAAAAGCCUCGAUGAAAUAAAAAUAGACAAGGAUAUGUAUUUAAAUUCUGAUGACGAAGACUCUUUUCGUAAUACAGCUAGUUUUGAAAAUGUUGAAAGUGAAGAAAUUUCACAGUUUGGGCCGGAAAAUGCAGAAUGCACGGAGAGCACUUCUCAACUUAAUGCUGAACCAGGUCCUUCAAGCAUGGAAGCUGCAGUUAAAAAAGGAGGGAAGAAAAUAAAACCAUGUGGCCGCGUUCGUUGGACAGAAACUGAAAAGACAAUUGUUAUAAAAAAAACAUCAGCAUGCUUAGCUAGCAGUUCAUCACAUUCAUAUUUUUUUGGUGUGAUUUUCUUUUGAAUAUGCAGUUUGAAGUAAUCCGUAUAUUAAACAAGGAUUGGGUGCGCAUUAAAACUUUUGUGUACAAUGUGUUUA